UACGUAGGGUGCAAGCGUUGUCCGGAAUUAUUGGGCGUAAAGAGCUCGUAGGCGGUUUGUCGCGUCUGCUGUGAAAACUCGGGGCUUAACCCCGGGCCUGCAGUGGGUACGGGCAGACUAGAGUGCGGUAGGGGAGACUGGAAUUCCUGGUGUAGCGGUGAAAUGCGUAGAGAUCAGGAAGAACACCGAUGGCGAAGGCAGGUCUCUGGGCCACUACUGACGCUGAGAAGCGAAAGCAUGGGGAGCGAACAGG
rnacentral:rRNA from 1 species